rnacentral:piRNA from 1 species
UGGCUUGGAAACAGUGGAAAGCAGAUAUGG